AUGAGACUCAGAGAUCUCGGGGAAGCCAGUGCAGAAGCGGGCACUGCUGCUGAAGCAUCUUUUGUGCACAGACACUUGAUUAGUGUCCAGUCCCCUCACAUCUUUUACUGAUUUUUAAGAGCACAUGGGGUGGGGGGGGGGGGUGUCUCUGUUCCAGGAAAGGCAAGAAUUGCCUUUUCCAAGGACUUUGCUGUUAUUGCUUUUGUACGAUUUACAACCCUGUCAGAUGUCAGGUUUUCAGGUUAAGCAAGUAAACUUUUAUCCUUUGAUGGGACUGUUCCAUCUUAAAGGAUUGUAGGAAAGAAGUAAUGGAUGUUGCUACAAGCAGAGCAGAAUGUCUGGGGAAUGUCUUCUGCCCAGAUAAUGGUGGGUCAGAAAUGGACAAGAGCUUGAGGAGGGGUUUCCUGCCACCUAGCUUUUUAUAGUUAAUGUCAUGGCAUUCUAAACCAAGUAUUCAGCAAAUAGAGCUACUGUGUGCAUCUCCCUAUUUUAAUUUAUUUUAUAAUCCUUGAACUUGUUUCACCUAAAUUCUGAUAUAAAAAGCACAUAUGUCCCCCAAAGAAUAUGAUUUGAAAUAUUUAAAACCUAGAUUUGUAUUUCUUACAGUGCUAUUAAGUAUUGUGUGUUACAGAGGGCCAGUGGCUUCUGAGUACUUACUGGCGUGAGGUAUUGAGAUGCGUGCAGAUAGUGUAGAGUUGGCCUGGCUUCAGUGUCCCCUGAUGAUUCUUCAUGAAUGGAAGGAAACUCAGAACUGAGCUCAUUGUCUUAAGCUUGGUGAUAGCUAUAAAUGCUAUGUUUUUUGAAUGCUGCUCUUGGGAGGGGCAAGGCAUUUUUUUAAUCUGCUGUUCUUUCCUCUGAUCUAAAUUAUAGAAAGAGCUAUGUAAUAGACUGUUUAAUCUCACAUUGAUACAUAUGAACACAUUGCCUUGAACUGUCAAUUUUCAUACAUGGUCUGUUGUAGUGCCUGCUCCCUUUACCACCAGAUUAAUUAUUAUGUCAGGUCAGGAUGGAAUAGAAUGCGUGGGAGAAGGAAUAAGAGAUGCUCAUACAGGGUAAAAAUUGCCGUUGCCCUUUUGGGUUUCAGUCUGCGACUGGUAUUGAAUUGUACAACUCCUAAGACUCUCUCUCUUGCCCAUGCAGCAGAGUAUGAGCCUCAUUGAGGCCUCCCCCUGUGGUUACUGCAUGGCCCCUCCAUUCCCAUCCUGAGAUACUGGAGUAGCAGUAUUUUGAUCUUAUUACAUGGACUCACACUAGUCCAUCUGUAUGCUUAAUCACAGAUUUGAAGCCUCAUUCGCCACAGUUCUAUUCCUCUUCUAAACAGAUCCACUAGAAAAUAAGAUAGAAAAAAAAGUGGUAGAACAUUGUAUUGAGAAUGUAUGAAAUAAACAUCUCUAAGCUUAGAGAGAACAUUGGAAGGAUUUAUUACAAACUAUAUAUCCUGGUUCCCAUAUCAGCCAUAUUGGAAAACAUGUGAAUUUUUCAAAGGUGUCUUACUUUAUUCUUGGGGAGUACUCAUGUGAAGCUAACAGAUCAGUGAUGUUAAAACAGUUGUGGCUGAAUUCUACUAAAUUCUCCUGAUGUUUGAUAAUUUCUACUGCAAACAGCAGUGAUAUUCCUC
rnacentral:lncRNA from 1 species